UUGAUCCUGGCUCAGGACGAACGCUGGCGGCGUGCCUAAUACAUGCAAGUCGAGCGAGUCUGCCUUGAAGAUCGGAGUGCUUGCACUCUGUGAAACAAGAUACAGGCUAGCGGCGGACGGGUGAGUAACACGUGGGUAACCUGCCCAAGAGAUCGGGAUAACACCUGGAAACAGAUGCUAAUACCGGAUAACAACAGAUGAUGCCUAUCAACUGUUUAAAAGGUGGUUCUGCUAUCACUCUUGGAUGGACCUGCGGUGCAUUAGCUAGUUGGUAGGGUAACGGCCUACCAGGGCGAUGAUGCAUAGCCGAGUUGAGAGACUGAUCGGCCACAUUGGGACUGAGACACGGCCCAAACUCCUACGGGAGGCAGCAGUAGGGAAUCUUCCACAAUGGACGCAAGUCUGAUGGAGCAACGCCGCGUGAGUGAAGAAGGGUUUCGGCUCGUAAAGCUCUGUUGUUGGUGAAGAAGGACAGGGGUAGUAACUGACCUUUGUUUGACGGUAAUCAAUUAGAAAGUCACGGCUAACUACGUGCCAGCCGCCGCGGUAA
rnacentral:rRNA from 1 species